GGUCUAUUAGCUCAGUUGGUUAGAGUGUUGUGCUAAUAAUGCGAAAUUCACAGGUUCAAGUCAUGUAUAGGCCA
rfam:Glycine soja cultivar W05 scaffold9228_2, whole genome shotgun sequence.